GACCCCGUCGCGCAGCGCCCUGCCCUCCAACUGGAAGCAGGAGCUGGAGAGCCUGCGCAGCAGCUCCCCCGCCCCCGCCUCGUCGGCCCCCGCCCCGGCCCGCUCCUCGUCGGCCAGCUGGCGUGAUGCCGCCCCGGCCUCGUCGGCCCCCGCCCGCUCCAGCUCCUCCAAGAAGGCUGUGACCCCGUCGCGCAGCGCCCUGCCCUCCAACUGGAAGCAGGAGCUGGAGAGCCUGCGCAGCAGCUCCCCCGCCCCCGCCUCGUCGGCCCCUGCCCCGGCCCGCUCCUCGUCGGCCAGCUGGCGUGACGCCGCCCCGGCCUCGUCGGCCCCUGCCCGCUCCAGCUCUGCCUCCAAGAAGGCCGUGACCCCGUCGCGCAGCGCCCUGCCCUCCAACUGGAAGCAGGAGCUGGAGAGCCUGCGCAGCAACUCCCCUGCCCCCGCCUCGUCGGCCCCUGCCCCGGCCCGCUCCUCGUCGGCCAGCUGGCGUGACGCCCCCGCCUCGAGCUCCAGCUCGAGCGCCGACAAGGCCGGCACCAACCCCUGGACUGGCAAGUCCAAGCCCGAGAUCAAGCGCACCGCCCUGCCCGCUGACUGGCGC
rnacentral:lncRNA from 1 species